UACGGAGGGUGCGAGCGUUAUCCGGAUUCACUGGGUUUAAAGGGUGCGUAGGUGGGUUUGUAAGUCAGUGGUGAAAUCUCCAGGCUUAACCUGGAAACUGCCAUUGAUACUACAGGUCUUGAAUUUUCUGGAGGUAAGCGGAAUAUGUCAUGUAGCGGUGAAAUGCUUAGAUAUGACAUAGAACACCAAUUGCGAAGGCAGCUUGCUACAGGAACAUUGACACUGAGGCACGAAAGCGUGGGGAUCAAACAGG
rnacentral:rRNA from 1 species